rnacentral:lncRNA from 1 species
CAGCAGCGGUGCCUGACGCGGGACAGAGGUUUGGCUGAAAGCUGCUCUGUUGUUGAAGGUCCUUCAGAGUUUGCAGCCGAGUGGCGGGCGGGGACAGCGCGGGGCGGGGGUGGGGGGGGGGGGGUGGCGGACAGGCCCUCGGCCUGCGCCCAGGGCUCGGCCACUUUGCUCGCGGCCUCUGGAGCUCCAGCUGCGCCCGGUCACCGCUGGCCGCUUGCACACACCCUCGCUGGCUCUCACGCUCAGGCCCCGACCACUGCAGGCAGGCCUUGCUGCGGAUUGGGAUCAACAUGAUGGCCCUGCCUGGAGGCCGUCGCCUGGACUCCAUCCCCUUGCCCGGGCAGCGGUAAGUCCUUCAACUGUUUCUCAGGGCCAACCCAGCUUCAUCCAGACUCCAGCUGAGGCUCAGCCCCACAA